GAUGAACGCUGGCGGCGUGCCUAAUGCAUGCAAGUCGAACGAAACUUCUUUAUCACCGAGUGCUUGCACUCACCGAUAAAGAGUUGAGUGGCGAACGGGUGAGUAACACGUGGGCAACCUGCCCAAAAGAGGGGGAUAACACUUGGAAACAGGUGCUAAUACCGCAUAACCAUAGUUACCGCAUGGUAACUAUGUAAAAGGUGGCUAUACUACCGCUUUUGGAUGGGCCCGCGGCGCAUUAGCUAGUUGGUAGGGUAAAGGCUUACCAAGGCAAUGAUGCGUAGCCGAAUUGAGAGGUUGAUCGGCCACAUUGGGACUGAGACACGGCCCAAACUCCUACGGGAGGCAGCAGUAGGGAAUCUUCCACAAUGGGCGAAAGCCUGAUGGAGCAACGCCGCGUGGGUGAAGAAGGUCUUCGGAUCGUAAAACCCUGUUGUUAGAGAAGAAAGUGCGUGAGAGUAACUGUUCACGUUUCGACGGUAUCUAACCAGAAAGCCACGGCUAACUACG
rnacentral:rRNA from 1 species